rnacentral:rRNA from 1 species
GUGGGGAAUAUUGGACAAUGGGCGCAAGCCUGAUCCAGCCAUGCCGCGUGAGUGAUGAAGGCCUUAGGGUUGUAAAGCUCUUUCAGUGGGGACGAUAAUGACGGUACCCACAGAAGAAGCCCCGGCUAACUUCGUGCCAGCAGCCGCGGUAAUACGAAGGGGGCUAGCGUUGUUCGGAUUUACUGGGCGCAAAGCGCACGUAGGCGGAUCGUUAAGUCGGGGGUGAAAUCCUGGAGCUCAACUCCAGAACUGCCUUCGAUACUGGCGAUCUUGAGUCCGGAAGAGGUGAGUGGAACUCCUAGUGUAGAGGUGGAAUUCGUAGAUAUUAGGAAGAACACCAGUGGCGAAGGCGGCUCACUGGUCCGGUACUGACGCUGAGGUGCGAAAGCGUGGGGAGCAAACAGGAUUAGAAACCCUGGUAGUCC